CUUGUAGCUAAUGUUCUUUUGGUAAGAGGAAAUAUAUAGAGAAAUAUCUUAAAAUAGCACAAUUCUAUGUUUUUCUUCCAAAACUAGCAUAUAUGCUCAACCUUUCCAAAAUUAGUAUUUUUAUUUUAUUAAUAUUUCCUUAAGAUAAUUAUUAAAUUUAUAACAAAAAAAGAAAAACAUAUUUUCACGAGCUUCUUCUUCUUCACCAAACAAAUUUGAGAUUAACGAUGAAUAUGCAGAUCUGGAGAAGCUGUAAAAUUGGUAAAUCAAGCUCAGAUUUAUAAGCAGAGAACUAAGAUUUUGGAUUUCUCUACGCAUGUGUCUGAUCUCGAAUCGGAGUCAUCAGAUCUCCGAGAACUUGUCACCAAGAAAGAUAAAUAAAUUGCCAAGCUGCAAUCUCAUGUUGAUUCUCUCCAUGCUUCUCUCUCCAUUGCGUUUCAAAUGCUUUCUCUCGCCGAUGGUGAAAAGGUUAGACCCGGUUUUGACUUUUUUUUAAUCCGAUGUGUUUUUUGAUUUGACUAUCUUGUUCUUCGGAAAAUUGGAGGAGAGUUUGAUAAGAGUGAAUGCUUCAUUGUCUAAUAUUAUGAAGAGACUUCAAAUAAGCUUGAGAGUUUUACGGAGACAUUUAUGAUGUCUCUUCAAGAUGAUGACCAAAAUGUUUGGAUUUAUCUUGGGGGUUUAUAACAGGCAGACCCGAUUUAUCUACAGAUUAUUGGCAGGCAUAACACAAAACAUUUGAGGUAUAUGGUAAUGAUGAAUGGUCUUACGGGUAUUGUGAGGAACUAUGUAUUCAGCUGUCCUGUGGUACGAAUCCAAUGUACACAUAUCGUGAGAAAAUUGUUCUUGGGAAGACAGAUUGCACACCCUUCAUGGUAAAUCAGAUCUUGUGUGAGCUCAGCAGGGAAUGGCCAAGAUAAACUUAUGAUUUUCUGUCAAAAAAUUGCAAUCACUUCUGCUAUGUACUCUGUGACAAGCUUGAUGUGCCAAAGAUCCCAUGUAAAGCCAUAAUUUGAGGAUUAGAGUUGGGUGACUCGCUUUUCUCAUGUUGGUGACACAGCCUUGGAAGUGGAAGAAAACACAGCAAUGUAUACACAGCUGAGUA